UGUGUUGGGUUUGCUUAGGUGUCAGCCAGCUAUACAGUGAAACUGCGAAUGGCUCAUUAAAUCAGUUAUCGUUUAUUUGAUAGUACCUUACUACUUGGAUAACCGUGGUAAUUCUAGAGCUAAUACAUGCUAAAAAUCCCGACCUCCGGAAGGGAUGUAUUUAUUAGAUAAAAAACCAAUGCCUUCGGGCUCCUUGGUGAUUCAUGAUAACUUAACGAAUCGCAUGGCCUUGCGCCGGCGAUGGUUCAUUCAAAUUUCUGCCCUAUCAACUUUCGAUGGUAGGAUAGUGGCCUACCAUGGUUUCAACGGGUAACGGGGAAUUAGGGUUCGAUUCCGGAGAGGGAGCCUGAGAAACGGCUACCACAUCCAAGGAAGGCAGCAGGCGCGCAAAUUACCCAAUCCCGAUUCGGGGAGGUAGUGACAAUAAAUACUGAUACAGGGCUCUUUUGGGUCUUGUAAUUGGAAUGAGUACAAUUUAAAUCCCUUAACGAGGAACAAUUGGAGG
rnacentral:rRNA from 1 species